rnacentral:rRNA from 1 species
UAAUACAGAGCCCCCGAGCGUUAUCCGGAUUUAUUGGGCGUAAAGCGUCUGUAGCCGGUUUAGAAAGUCUCCUGUUAAAUACCAAGGGCUCAACCUUUGGAAUGCAGGGGAAACUUCUAGACUCGAGGAUGUUAGGGGCUGAUGGAACUCUUAGUGGAGGGGUGGAAUCCGUUGAUAUUAAGAGGAACACCAAAAGCGAAGGCAUUCAGCUGGAACAAUCCUGACGGUGAGAGACGAAAGCGUGGGGAGCGAAAAGGAUUAGAUACCCUUGUAGUCCACGCUGUAAACGAUGGAUACUAGCUAUGUGAAGUGUCGACCCUUCACGUGGCGAAGCUAACGCGUUAAGUAUCCCGCCUGGGAAGUACGAUCGCAAGAUUA